rnacentral:rRNA from 2 species
GGGCGCAGCCUGAUGGAGCACACCGCGUGAGUGAAGAAGGGUUUCGGCUCGUAAAGCUCUGUUGUUAAAGAAGAACACGUAUGAGAGUAACUGUUCAUACGUUGACGGUAUUUAACCAGAAAGUCACGGCUAACUACGUGCCAGCAGCCGCGGUAAUACGUAGGUGGCAAGCGUUAUCCGGAUUUAUUGGGCGUAAAGAGAGUGCAGGCGGUUUUCUAAGUCUGAUGUGAAAGCCUUCGGCUUAACCGGAGAAGUGCAUCGGAAACUGGAUAACUUGAGUGCAGAAGAGGGUAGUGGAACUCCAUGUGUAGCGGUGGAAUGCGUAGAUAUAUGGAAGAACACCAGUGGCGAAGGCGGCUACCUGGUCUGCAACUGACGCUGAGACUCGAAAGCAUGGGUAGCGAACAGGAUUAGAUACCCUGGUAGUCCAUGCCGUAAACGAUGAGUGCUAGGUGUUGGAGGGUUUCCGCCCUUCAGUGCCGGAGCUAACGCAUUAAGCACUCCGCCUGGGGAGUACGACCGCAAGGUUGAAACUCAGAAAUAAUUUGACGGG